rnacentral:rRNA from 1 species
GCCAGCCCGCUCAGAAACUCAAGGAAUUGACGGGGCCCGCACAAGCGGUGGAGCAUGUGGUUUAAUUCGAUGCAACGCGAAGAACCUUACCUGGUCUUGACAUCCCGGAGACCCUUAGGAAACUAGGGGGUGCUUCCAUCUGGAAGAAUCUGGAGACAGGUGCUGCAUGGCUGUCGUCAGCUCGUGUCGUGAGAUGUUGGGUUAAGUCCCGCAACGAGCGCAACCCUUGCCUUUAGUUGCCAGCAGUUCGGCUGGGCACUCUAAAGGGACUGCCGGUGUUAAACCGGAGGAAGGUGGGGAUGACGUCAAGUCCUCAUGGCCUUUAUGACCAGGGCUACACACGUACUACAAUGGCCGAUACAAAGGGCAGCGACACUGCGAGGUGAAGCCAAUCCCGUAAAAUCGGUCUCAGUCCGGAUUGGAGUCUGCAACUCGACUCCAUGAAGUUGGAAUCGCUAGUAAUCGUGGAUCAGCAUGCCACGGUGAAUACGUUCCCGGGCCUU